GACGAGCCACACAAACGUUAUUCGGAUUUACUGGGCGUAAAGGGCGCGUAGGCGGUCAGCACAAGUCAGUUGUGAAAUCUCCGGGCUUAACUCGGAACGGUCAACUGAUACUGCGCGGCUAGAGUGCAGAAGGGGCAACUGGAAUUCUCGGUGUAGCGGUGAAAUGCGUAGAUAUCGAGAGGAACACCUGCGGCGAAGGCGGGUUGCUGGGCUGACACUGACGCUGAUGCGCGAAAGCCAGGGGAGCGAACGGG
rnacentral:rRNA from 1 species